rnacentral:rRNA from 1 species
GAUGAACGCUGGCGGCGUGCCUAAUACAUGCAAGUCGAGCGAACAGACGAGGAGUUUGCUCCUCUGACGUUAGCGGCGGACGGGUGAGUAACACGUGGAUAACCUACCUAUAAGACUGGGAUAACUUCGGGAAACCGGAGCUAAUACCGGAUAAUAUAUUGAACCGCAUGGUUCACUAGUUAAAGAAGGUUUUGCUGUCACUUAUAGCUUGAUCCGCGCCGCAUUAGCUAGUUGGUAAGGUAACUGCUUAGCAAGGCAACGAUGGGUAGCCGACCCGAGGGGGUGGACGGCCACACGGGAACUGAGACACGUUCCACACUCCUGGAGUGGGAAGCAGCAGGGAAUCUUCCGCGAUGGGCGAAAGCGUGACGGAGCAACGCCGCGGGAGUGAUGAAGGACUUCGGCUCGUAAAACUCUGUUAUUAGGGAAGAACAAAUGUGUAAGUAGCUAUGCACGUCUUGACGGUACCUAAACAAAAAGCCACGGCUAACUACGUG